GGCUCAGAAUGAACGCUGGCGGCGUGCGUAACACAUGCAAGUCGAACGAGAAAGUCCGCUUCGGUGGAUGAGUAAAGUGGCGAACGGGUGAGUAACGCGUGGGUAACCUGCCCCUGAACCUGGAAUAACUUCGCGAAAGCGAGGCUAAUACCGGAUAUUGUCCCAGGGACCUUGGUCCUUGUGAUGAAAGAUGACCUCUUCACGAAAGUUGUCGUUCAGAGAGGGGCCCGCGUACCAUUAGCUAGUUGGUAGGGUAAUGGCCUACCAAGGCGAGGAUGGUUAGCUGGUCUGAGAGGAUGACCAGCCACACUGGCACUGAAACACGGGCCAGACUCCUACGGGAGGCAGCAGUGAGGAAUUUUGCGCAAUAGGGGAAACCCUGACGCAGCAACGCCGCGUGAGUGAAGAAGGCCCUCGGGUCGUAAAGCUCUGUCAAGUGGGAAAAAAGCUUGCUGGUGAAUAGCCAGUAAGACUGAUGGUACCAUUGAAGGAAGCACCGGCUAACUCCGUGCCAGCAGCCGCGGUAA
rnacentral:rRNA from 1 species